rnacentral:misc_RNA from 1 species
CCACCCAAGCACUAGCACCAACAAAGACAGACAAUCCCAAAAGAACCCGCAUGAAUACAAGCAAAGUCUUACACUUCCACAGAAUACUUUGCAAAUCAUUCAAAUGGAAAUAAAGCUGAAAUAUUAGAAUUUAACAAAUGCAUCAGGUUAAUUGUGAUUUGUAAUAUAGAUGGAAUGGCCGGCAAAUUGUGGAUGGAUGCAGUAACACAUGUACAACUAUUUUAUAACCACAUUGGAACAAUACAUGAAGUAAGAGGAAAUUAACACACCCUUGGUAGGUAAGCUGCUGUAA